GUUUCGUUCAGGAUUUGAAAUUUUCCUAAGUUCUCUGUUUGGUGACAUGUAUAAACAGAGGUAGACUAUAAGGUUCCACCAUUCUUGAUUGAAAAUAGAUAUUAUAUUUAUCGAAUUGAAUAUGUGAUUGGAUGUAAUCAUUGGAUAUUCUAAACCUUUCUAAUCAAUGGUAAUCACUCCUACUAUAAGAACUGAUUCCAAACCCCUGAUGAAGUCCUAACGGACGAAACGCGUUGGGUUUUGCAACGCCUGGU